AUUGGAAUCUUAAAAAAAAAAAAAAAUUGUCCGAAGUACAGAAGAUUGUUUUAAUUUACUUUAAGUUCUAUUUUUUUUACACUCUAAGAAACAACGUAAAGUGCAAUGAAGGGAAGAAAUUCCUUAUUUUUUGUAUAAUUUUAUUGUAUUGUUCGACUUGAAAAACAGAAUAGGUUUGAAACUGUUUACAGUAUUUGUUGUGGUGUGUUAAUUUUGUUGUA